GACGAACGCUGGCGGCGUGCCUAAUACAUGCAAGUUGAGCGCUGAGGGGAGGUACUUGUUCCUAUUGGGUGAGCAGCGGACGGGUGAGUAACGCGUGGGUAAUCUGCCUUUGAGCGUGGGACAACAUUUGGAAACGAAUGCUAAUACCGCAUAAAAACUUUAAACACAAGUUUUAAGUUUGAAAGAUGCAAUUGCUUCACUCAAAGAUUAUCCCGCGUUGUCUUAGCUAGGUGGUGAGGUAAAGGCUCAACCAGGCGAAGAUACAUAGCCGACCUGAGAGGGUGGUCGGCCCAAUUGGGACUGAGACCACGCCCAAGACCCUACGGGAGGCAGCAGUAGGGAAUCUUCGGCAAAGGACGAAAGGCUGAACGGGCAAAGCCGGGGGAGUUAAGAAGGUUCUCGGAUCGUAAAACUCUGUUGGUAGGGAAGAAAGUUGGUGAGAGUGGAAAGCGCAUCAAGCGACGGUAACUAACCAGAAAGGGACGGCUAACUACGUG
rnacentral:rRNA from 1 species